rnacentral:rRNA from 1 species
UACGUAGGGUGCAAGCGUUAAUCGGAAUUACUGGGCGUAAAGCGUGCGCAGGCGGUUAUGUAAGACAGGUGUGAAAUCCCCGGGCUAACCUGGGAACUGCAUUUGUGACUGCAUAGCUAGAGUACGGCAGAGGGGGAUGGAAUUCCGCGUGUAGCAGUGAAAUGCGUAGAUAUGCGGAGGAACACCGAUGGCGAAGGCAAUCCCCCUGGGGCCUGUA